rnacentral:lncRNA from 1 species
ACAAAAUAUUUUCUUAUUGCGCAGUUAGAAAUAAACAGGGGAUGUGGGUCGUUCCUCUCCUCUUCUUUUUUUCCUUUUUGAAAUGUCUACUACGCAUUCCAAAUUCUUGGCGAAAGGGACAAAGUUAUUUAUAGUGGUGCACUUGCAUUUUUAAUCGUGUAUAUGUGUUGAUGUUAAGGUUUCCUGUAAUCCCCCUCCCCAGUGAGGAAUAAUUGUAAAUUUAUUUCUAUAAUAUGCAGCUUUCGAGUUUUGAUGUUUGAAAAGAAGAGUAUCCAGAGGCUCCUGUAGUGGCUUUGCUCUAAUAUAUAGUUAAUUUAGUUUAACUGAAUAGUUAAAAUAUAAUGUUUUUGGAGUAGAUAUAAAUAAAUGGCAGUGUCUUAAAUUCAACAGAUAAAACUACUGCAUUGAAAUAAUUAUGGAAUAUAAAUUUGUCUUAAUUAUAUAGGCAUAGGUGUGAUAUUUAGUGUUAAUUUACGUAAAUUUGUAUGUCACUACACCUCUGAGUCACGAUCUUGAGAUGUAAAUACAUAGUGAUGGGCAUGUUAAAACAAAGAAACCAAAAGUCAAUAUGGUAACCCGACAAUUUAAAGAACGUUUUGGAGGCGAGCAGCUUAGCCUAAUGAUGUUUCAUUAGGAGGAGAAGGAAAUAAACAAGGACAUUGGAAAGAAAUAAUCGGAUAUCGAUCCUCAUACAUUUUUGUGCCCUCAUAAACGAUAGCCUUAGCUAUUGAAGAGGGUCCUGCACGAAAUUGAUUUCUCAAGGCAUUAGUCCCAUUCUGAAAAUUUUAUUUUUAUAAAAAUAUUUUUACUUUUUAUAAUUUAAAAGGUGGACUUUUUUUUUUUUAAAUGCCUUUAUUAGAAGGGAAAAUAAUUUUUUUGUGAUCCUUUUUUUUAGUAAAAUGUACAUUAUUUAUCCAAUGGCUUUUAGAAACGGAUAUAUCUUUUAAAUGACCCUUUUAGGAGGACUAAGCCUUGUGGCUUUUUAAAUAAAUUGUGUCCAGACUUCAUUUAAUGACUUUUUAGAUGAAAAUACUCAUCAUUUCCUUGUUAAAAAUUAGGUUUUUUCAUUUUAAUUAAAUGACCUUUUCGGAAGAUACAUUUCUAACUUUUAUAUGUUUCGUAGUUGCCGGUAGUACCCGGCAUUGUCAAGAGCAAUUAAGGGUGGACGAAGAGCUAAAAGUUGCUUUAUCAAUAUAGAAGAUACUACUCGGGAUCAUUUUGGGCAUUUUAAAAAAAGAAACCGAAAAAUACCCCGACAAUAUGAAGAAUGUUUUGAAGGAGAGGAGCUUAGCUGUCAUAACGUUUCAUUAGAUCAGUUGCAUUUGACUUUGACGAAUGAGGAGGGGGAGAAGGAAAUUGGCAAGAAUUACUCCAAUGUUGAUCUUCAAUUCUACUCUGAGUCCAACGACGUCUUAAAAUUAAACUCUGCAAUAAAACCUCAAAGUAUUACUCUGUAUCUUUUAUAAAUUAUGAAAACACGAUUGUUCAAUCAGUUUUUGAAUAUAAUUGAAUGCAGUAAAAAAAAGUAAGCUCACUACUGAGUAGUUAAAUAAUAAUAACAAAAAUGAGGAAAAGUAAAUUUAUUCUUUAGAUUAACAACUGAAAAAACGGGCUGGGUAAAAAAUACAUCAGAUUUUUAUCACUAAAGAUAAGUGUAACACAUCCUCAGUGCAACUGCGCUUUUCAUGAGGAAUUCACACAUAGAUACUUAAUACUUCUUUGCUCAAUAAUGAUAAAAUAGUGAUAACAGCUUAGAAUAUAAAAACUUUGCUCAGGUUGCCAACAACAAAAAUAUCGUAUGCCAAAGAUUGUGCUUAUGAUAUACUUUUAAAUAUAUAUGUACUCUCCUUUUUUUUCUUCUCUAUUUUAAUAUGAAGCUCUGAGCUUACACAAGUACGGCACUAAACCUCAUUUUAAGUCCCAUUAAUUAUUAUUUAUUCCAUAUAUAUAAAUUCACUUCCCUUUUUUUUUAAUAUGACCUUUAGCUAUACACGAUUAUUGUUAAAAAUGAGUCAUCAAUUCAUACUUUAUACAACUACAGAGAAUUUAGUUAGCUAAAAAUGAGUUGACCUCAACGCUAGCGACAUUUCAUUCUUUUUUACACACUGUUUUAUACAAUGCAACACUCUUUUUUCUUCUUCUCUAUUUUAAUAUGACAUGCAUGCUGAAUUGCUUAGUUAUUUCUUUAAUCAAGUAUUUACACAGUCCUAAGAUACACUCGGAAAUAAUUUUGUUUUUAUAAAAUAGAUUACAAAACUUAAAGAAAAGAUGAUUUUCGUCACAUAAUUUAUAUUGACGUAAUUUAUAAUAAAUGCAUAAUCGGAGAGGUCAAGAUAAUUUACCCUGUCGACAAGAAGGAUCAAACUUUACUUAUAGGUCUAAAAAUGGUGUCAUUUCCUCAAUAUGGAUUUUUUAACUACAAAUCCGCCAGACAAUCAUUGUUUGAAUGUUCAACAUUUGGAACUAUACAUGACGUUAUCAACAAUUCAUCUAUAAAAUCAGACCGAAUUACAAAAGGUAUAGCUGUAUCAGACCAAUGCCAUUAUCAUCAGUCUAUGUUCACAAAUUUUUAUAAGAAUAAUUAAUACAUCAAUAAGGCCUAAAUUAAGAUAAUGACAAACGAUUCUCGUCCAUAAAAUAUAUUUUAUGUUUUAUUAAACUAACUAAAUUGGUAAACUGAGAGGUUCCAGGAAAACAUUGACCUAAAACAUUUUGCCGAACGGACAAUUCGCCGAAGAACCAUUUCCGAAUGUACAAUUUGCCGAAAUAUUAUUUGGGACAUUUGGCCGAAACCCAAUAUUUAAUAAAUACUAUAUUGAUAUAUGGGAUAUAGUAUUUAUUAAAUAUUGUGUUUCCGCCAAAUGUCUCAAAUAAUCCUUCGGUGAAAUGCCCGUUCGGCGAAUUGUCUUUCGGCUAAUUGUCUUCUCACGAUCUAUGAUCAUGUAAAUUCCUGCUUAUGAAUAUUAUUGUAGGAAAGUUGACAAAAUACACUCUAAAUUACGCAUUACACAUGUAAAUUCAUGAGGUUAUUUUUUUAGUUGUGUUCAAGUGUGUUACAUAUUUGUUCUAUAUUGUCAGAUUAAUAUAAUAGAAAAAUAUUACUAUGUAUCAAAUAUAAUAAUCUGUCCAAUUGGAAUAAAUAGGAAUAGGAAUUCAACAAAAAGUUCGUUACACUACCUUUUUUAUCAUGCAGCUGUACAGUGUUAAUAUCAUCAGGCACGAUUGGAUCAACUUUCAUUUUUGACGAAUGUUUAGCUGUAUGACGAUGCACAGUGCUUUAUUCCCCCAAAAGUGUUCAAAACUAUAUUUAUUGAUUUUAUGUAUUUAUUUUUACGUUUCAAGUUUUUUUUAAAUUUAAGCUUUAUAUAAC